rnacentral:lncRNA from 1 species
AGUACCCACUCCCUUUGUUUCUUUUCUUUCUCCCUUUUUUUUUUUUGGUUUCAAAUUUUUAUUAAAAUUCUAGUUAAUUAACAUAUAGUGUAAUAUUGGUUUCCAGAGUCGAAUUUAGUGACUCCUCGCUUACAUAUAACACCCAGUCUCCACUUUCUAUUUCAUAAAAUACAUACUUCUUUUCCACGUGGUUUCUAAAAGUUCAUGCUCUUGUUUUUCUCUUACUUCAUGAGCUACUGCUCUCAAUCUUCUUCAUUUUAUGAUUUUCUUCUGUUUUGCCCCUACAAGUCAGAAAGCUUGAAGGAUUGAGACAAGACCCUUUAUCACCAUACAUCAAUCCAUGAAUCAACUCAGAAAGAGAUCUCUGGAAACGGGAAGCUUCAACUUACCUGACCACAAAAUUCACUCUUGCCUAGAGGCUUGUGCCUCCAUGUACCUGAUGUGGCCAUGCUAAUUCGGGGUCACACAAUAUAUUGUACCUUAUGUUAGGGACUAUUUAUUGAUCAUUCUUUUCAAAAAGGUAGACCUGGGGCAGCCUGGGUGGCUCAGGGGUUUAGCGCCACCUUCGGCCCAGGGCAUGAUCCUGGGGACCCAGGAUCGAGUCCCAUGUCAGGCUCCCUGCAUGGAGCCUGCUUCUCCCUCUGCCUGUGUCUCUGCCUCUCUCUCUCUCUCUCUCUCUCUCUCUCUCUGUGUCUCUCAUUAAUAAAUAAAUACAUGAAUAAAUAAGUAACAUCUUUUAAAAAAAUAAAUAAAAGAUCUUAAGCCUAACCGUAGUUACUCACUGCACACUCCCCCACCCCUCAUGAUGGCCUUUAGGUGUCAACUUGACUGACCCACAGAUUGUCCAGAUAUUUGGCUAAACAUCAUACUGGGUAUGUCUGUGAGUGUGCUUAUGAAUGAAAUUAUUAUUUGAAGCCAAAAACUGAGCAAAGCAGAAUGCCCUCCCCAGUGUGGGCAGGCACCAUCUAUCCAUUUGCUAUAGACUGAAUGUUUGUGCUCCCUUAGUCCAAUUAUUAUGCUGAAACCUAUUUGAUAUCUUCAGAUGGGCCCUUGGGAUGAGUACCUUUAUACAGAUCUCUGAGAGCUCCCUUGCCCUGCUGCCAUUUAAGGACACAAUUAAAAGCAGCCAAUUAUGAACCAACCAUGAAUAAGGCUGUCAUCAAACAUCAAGUCUACAGAAGCUUUGAUCUUGUACUUCAAAAUGUCCAGAACUCUGAGAAAUAAAUUUCUGUUGCUUAUAGGCUACCCCAUCUACAGUAGUUUAUUAUAGCAACCCAAAUAAACUGAGGCAUUGUUGAAAACCUGUAUAGAACAAAAGGCAGAGUAGGGGAGAACCCGCUCUCCAGUUGACUGUCUUCCAGCUGGGACAUUGAUCUGCCCACAGGCACAGACGGGAACUAUAACAUCACCUCUCCUGGGUCUCCAGCUUUCCUAACUCUGCACAUCUUGAGACUUCUCAGCUUGUAUAACCACAUGGAACCAAUUGAAUUGUCCAAUUGAUUCUAUUUCUUUGGAGAACCCAGACUAAUACAUCCCUAUAACCGUUUGUCAAUCCAAGAAUGAGAGAAAAUUGUACAUGAAGUUCACAGGCCACAUAGUUCCACAUUCUCUUGUCUCUCUUAUUAUGCCAAAGUGUCUAACAUGGAAAUAAAGGACUGUUAUGAUGAUCAGCUCAUAGAUUGACCCUAGAUAGGGCUGUUCAAUUGAUACAAGUAACAUAAUUUCCUCUACUUGGCUCUUGAUGACUCUCUUUCCUUCCUGUCAUAUUCAAAGCAAAUAAAGACCUACCACUCUGUGGGUGCCCUGCCCAUCACCGUCUCCAAUGUCCAGCUCUAGCUAACAUCUUUCCUGAGGUUACCCUAAACAGAAAUUCAAUUCAACUGAAAAACUGACAAUCUGAAAUAUUUUACCCGGAUAAAUCUAUGAUGUAACACCUUCAGAAUAUGCGUCCCUUCUUCUUGAAAGAGUAUAAAUAAUCAUACAUACCAUGGAUGAACAAGAAAAUAUAUAUACAAUUAUACUGAAAAUCACUUGAUAAAAGAGUUUUAAUGAUCAGGACUAGUUAUCCCAAAUGUAUCUUGUGUUUUACUUAACUUCAUUAUUUUCUGAAAAAAAAAAGUCGCACAUUUCAUGAGAAACUAAGCUACAGAAAUACAAUUAGACUUCCCACAUGCCUCAGGGAAUAUGUUCUUUAUCUAUCCUCCCACAAUUAAAUUAGAAAAGGAAGUGACCUUGAGUUGAAAGAAGCCUCAUGAGUGACUAAAACCCCAGCAAGGAGAAGACAUUAGUUUUAUUUGAAAGGUGACUAGGAUUUUGAAGGUCACCUUGGGGCCCAUCAUACUAAUAUGUAAACCCAGACUACACAUUGACAAAGCAUUUCAGGAUGUACAAGCCAUACCAGUAUGAUAUGGUGAAAUAGAAUCCAAGUGGACACAGAUUCAGAUUUACCAGUAUUUGCUGCAUAUGAUUCCGAUACGUUCUGGAGAGACACUAGUUCAAUGCAAACAUCACAUAUAUCCACGUAACUAAGGAAAAACAGACUUUUUAUGAAGCACUAAAAGACCAUUGCUACGUCUUUAUUUUCUCUUGCCAAACCACACAGUUUGUAUAAGUAUCAAUUCAAAGAAUAGAGGGCAACGUGUCAUGAAAAGAUUGGAAUUAUUAUAAUCAUGAAUUAUUCCUCUGAUUGUUGUUGCUCUGGCUGUGGUUUUCUCUACACAGUACCAUGAUGAAGCAGAAUGCCAUUACUGCCAAGUUUCUUGAUCAAUAAAGAAUAACAAACUAAGGUAAUUCACGUUUUGUCAAAAAAUGGAGCUCUUCCAGGCCCCCAACAUUGUUUAUUUCACUGUGAAAUCAGACUUGUUGGUUUUCUUUCAAUGUCAGGAUAACUAGUUCACUUCCCAAAUUCUUUUUCAUCUUAAACUUUCUAACACCAUGAGUCAAUUUUCACUCUUUGACCUGUGUCCAACAAUGAGAACACACUCAAAACUCUUCUUUCAAUGCAAAAUUGACUUGAUUAAUAAAAUAAUCA